CCCGCUGAACUUAAGCAUAUCAAUAAGCGGAGGAAAAGAAACUAACAAGGAUUCCCCUAGUAACUGCGAGUGAAGCGGGAAAAGCUCAAAUUUAAAAUCUGGCGGUCUCGCGGCCGUCCGAGUUGUAAUCUGGAGAAGCGUCUAUCCGCGUCGGACCGUGUACAAGUCUUCUGGAAGGGAGCGUCGUAGAGGGUGAGAAUCCCGUCUUUGACACGGACAACCGAUGCUUUUGCGAUGCGCUCUCGAAGAGUCGAGUUGUUUGGGAAUGCAGCUCAAAAUGGGUGGUAAAUUCCAUCUAAAGCUAAAUAUUGGCGAGAGACCGAUAGCGAACAAGUACCGUGAGGGAAAGAUGAAAAGCACUUUGGAAAGAGAGUUAAACAGUACGUGAAAUUGUUGAAAGGGAAACGUUUGAAGUCAGUCGCGUCGGCCGAGACUCAACCUUGCUCUUCGCUCGGUGCACUUCUUGGUCGACGGGUCAGCAUCAAUUUCGACCGCCGGACAAAGGUCAGGGGAAUGUGGCAUCCUUCGGGAUGUGUUAUAGCCCUCGAUUCGCAUACGGCGAUUGGGAUUGAGGAACUCGGCGCUUCACGCGUCCAGGAUGCUGGCAUAAUGGCUUUAAGCGACCCGUCUUGAAACACGG
rnacentral:rRNA from 1 species